AGUUUCAGUUUGUCCUGCGCCGUCGGCGUUGCGCGCCGCGUUUCUUCUGCUUCCGAGAAAGAAUUAAAGGGAUUUCAAGAAGAAAUCCCAUAAACAAAUAGUAGUUACUAAAAGUAAAGUAUUCAACGCGUGUUUUCUGCGUAUGGCGGGAGUGUGUGUGUGUGCCAUUCUAAACUCAAAUUUCCGUUGAUUACAAGCCAAGCUCACCCACACACAUGUACGCUCUCCAUCGCCAUCGCUCACAAAUUUGAGACUGCAUCGCCGAUGAAUACGAACGGAUGCAAGCAGCAUUUACAGUUCAAAUGUGCCGUCUAAUUAGAAAUGAUUUAAUUUCAAUAGCGAUUUAAUAAAAACGAAUUUGCGAAACGAAGCGACGCCGCCGCGUGUGUAUUUCGUAUGUAUGUAUAUAUGUUUGUGUCUGUGUGUAAUUCGCCAUACUUCUUCAAUUCAAAGAACAGACAGAAGAAGAACACAACAACAAGAGGGCAAGACAUACUUGAGAAAUAAAGCAAAACCAACAGCAACAACUAUUGCUAUCAACAUGAUUCUCUUUCGCUCGCUCUCCCGCUCUUUACCGUUUUGCUGUGCGCGUGUGUAAGCUUCGCUUUGUUAGUGUACGGGUAUGUAUAUAAGCGGGCGAGCAACACAAAAAAAAGACACGCUGAAUUUUCCCUAUAUUUUUGCGCCUGCCAAUAAGCGGUUCUUUUGCGGAGUUGCCACACCGCCGUGCAGAUCGUGGAAUUUUUAAUUGGAAUUGGGAAAGAUUCAUUGCGUACGCCUAUGUGUAUGUGUGUAGAGCUGAUAAGAAGCAGAGAAAGCUGAAAAGAGACGCCGCUUAUCAACGCUAAAAAGAAAAAAAAAAUCAAAAAAAGAAGGAGGAACAGAAACGAACUAAAUGGGUCGAGCACAUUGUCGUGUAUUGUGUUUUGCACUAUCGCUUAAUAAUUGAAAUUAAAGAGGAGGCGAGGGAAAUGGAGAACGCAAAAAUCCCAUUAUAAUGGAAUUGGGACUGGAGCUGGAAUUGGAAUUCAUACUACUGUUUUUAGUGGGUGGGGGUCCAGUGUUUCACAUUGAUUUUCUUAGUAUUUGUGACUAGAUCCACACUCAUUAAUAACGGUAGUUCAAUCAUCAAGCACGUGUUUUCUUGACAAACUUCGCGUGUACUUCAUUCGAAAAGCAAAGGGACAAACAGGUGGUGAUCUUUGAAAAAAAAAAAGAGACGCAAGGUAAUUAGUCAAUGUCUCGCACGCACACAACGUCAUUCAGACGGAACGACCGAAAAAAAAAGAAGGAAAAGAGCACCUGUUCGAGUGCACAAAAGAGAGGGAAAGAGAGCCCAAAAGGAAGAGCGAUAGCGGAAGAGCGACUUGAUUGCAGGCCCGAAAUAAAAUGAAAAUUAAUGCUAAUUUAGACCACUUUCGGGCCAAGCAAAACAGGCCCAGAACAAUGAUCCCCCAAAUUCAAAAUUAAUUGUAGCCAACUGCAAAGAACUGGGAAAAUUGUUAGCCUAACAACAAAGGUUAAAAGUUCAACAACUGUUGCCAGCUGAGUCACUGAUCUACGUACAGUUGCGGUGGAAAUAAUAGUGCUCUCAUUGCUCAGAUCAUACAAGAAAGUCAAUUAAGAGCAAAGAGAAAAUACAUAAAACAUAAUUUGUAUGCUUGAUAAAACUGAGUCAGUCCCCUUUUGUUUCCUUUAAAUUAUAUUUGAAUUAUGCUCAUCAUAUCCAUGGUUUUAAAAUAUUUCAAAACUAUUAUUUACCCCGCAACUGUCUUUUUUGUUAUAUUCCUCUGUAGUUCCGCCUCCCUAACUUGACUUUUUGCUCCGGUUUCUACCGGAACAAAUUGCUGAAAUACCAAAUUCUGAGAAGACACCGCUGUCGCAUAGUUUAGAUUAAUAGUUGUACAUGCAUUUGUAUACACCCCCAAACUUGACAAACAAUAAUUUCCAUCGAAUCGGGUGGCUGGCCUGUAUCACUCACUAUAUGUAUCGGAUUUUAUCCAACUCUGCUCUCUGUUUUUGUGCCCCGAUCAGCAGAAAUUCAAACUGCAGCGACGCCACAAUUCUUAAACAAUUCUCAAAGACGACGGCGAUUCUGAUUCCGAUUCCGAUUCUGUCGGCUUUUCGUCAGAGGAGAAUCAUGUUUGUGGGUGCAAGGGAGUGGUGGGAGGAGGAGGUGCCACAUAUUAUUGUAUAAAUCAGCAGAAAAAACGGCAAACUGCGGACGGGCGAACAAAAAAUAAUAAACCUUAAUUCGAAGCUCGGAGCUUGAUUCAUUCAUAUUACCCGGGGAUCCGGGCAAAAGUGGUGGUGGUGGCCGAAAAGGGUAAGGGGAACUGCUGACUGUGGCCACCCAAUUGAGCUAUGAAAACCGAUCAAACCGAUCGCAAUUGUUGGCAGGCACGAGAGCAAUGACAUGACAUGCAAACUACUAAGCCCCAAACGGAAAACCCAUUGUCCAAUGCCCAAUAUUCAAAACCCAAAACGAAAGAGAAAAACCAAAGCCAAAGCCAAACCCAAUCACCAAUCACAAAAAUGCCACAGAAAGUCGUGCAGGGGCAAUAAUCAUCAUCCGGGCGAGAAAGGAGCCCAAUAGUGGGGAUGUGGGGAAGGAUGCUCUUUUCUGACUCUAUUUUGUCGGCGAACAUGGAUCUAGUGCACGGUGGUUCAUGAUUAAGUUCGUGACUAGAUUUCAUGCUCGUCUAUUAAGUUGGGUCAGCACAACGAAGAGAGCGGAGCUUUCCAUCUCGCGGGGAUCGGAGGGAGUCGUUUUCCAACCCAACCCCUCCGGCUGAUUUGGCCAAUUAGCCAAACGCAUUAAUUAUGGGAAAAGUAUAUUUGAUUGACCCGUGACCCACAUCGAGUGGCACACGCCCCGCAGCAGCAGCAACUACCGAAAAAUGAGGGCGUGUUGCAAGAUACUCGUAGCAAGCGCCAAGCACCACUACAUGGAGUCAAUGGCCUGCUGUCCCGCAUGCUGCACAUGCGCUCAGUCCGGGAAAACAGCAGUAGCCUUGCCGAUUUGCGGUCCUUUAUCUGCCAAACGGACUGACAGCCGCCGCCGAAUGUGAAAAACCAAAGCCCACGGCAGUCAACGGUCCACCAAUUUAUGGGCUGGUGACACGCGAUUAAAAAUCGAAUCCGAGUGGCCCCUACAGAAACAGUGGCACAGGCACAGAAACAGAAACCCAGGCCACUGGGUACUGGGAACUUGGAACUGCAACGCCAAUAGAUUUUCGUGUGAAAACUCGGCGAGGGUUGUUGUUGUCGUUGUUACCGUGGCGCCUGCGGGUAAGUAACGGCUUUUUGCCCGCCUUUUGUCACAUGGUGAGAAAAAAAUAAACAAAAUAUCACUUGGAACAUGCCUUUUAAAUGUAUGUAUGUAUAUCUAUUAUAAAAAUGGAUCAACAUUCAGGGCACCCAACUGAACCACGAACUAUUUAGUUACGCAAAUUCAACAGAAAACCAUUCAGUAGCAAAUGUCUUAGUGAUCCAUAAUACCUUGUACUUGUACAAUAAUCUAUUUACAAUCCACAGGUUUUUGUUACACUUCUAUUAAAAGUUAAACGACCUUUUCGUUAAGAUUGUCAUGUCAAUUGAAUUGUAUUAUCAAAUGUUUAAAGCUUGCUGAAUGGAGUUCGUUUCAAAAUGCUAGAAAGUGCUAUUAAAAUAGAGGAAGUAGUAAAAUAAUAAUCGAAGUAAAAGAUCAUACUUAAAACGGAUAAUCUACAAUGUUUUUUCCGGUGCAGUUGUUGUUGCCAACGACAACAAGACGACACAUACACAUGUACCUACAUAUGUACGUAUGUAUGUGCGUUCUGUUGCGUGGGCGUUUGAGUGUAACUGUAACACCUGCUGCCGCUAUUAACACAGCAUUUCGCUGCUCUCCAAUUUUAAUUUCAGGCCAAAGGAAUGAAGCCGGAACACCUUUCAACCCCGUGGGCCAUUGUUAGUGCUCCGUGGCUAGGGAUAGAUGGCUACUGUAUGGCCACUUGCUGCACGGCCAUGAAGCUACUCCUCCCACACGAUUUGCUUCACGCUCAUUUAAAUGCCAACGCACCGCAGGGAGGAGAGAGCAGGGCACUUCACUUCGGCGGCUCGGCUGGCUUAUUUACAUAUUUUCUAAAUGAAUAUGGGCCCCGCGAGUUUGCAACCCCGACCGGCGGUGGCAAAGCCGAGAAGCGCAUUCAGUUGCAACGGCCGCGGCAGCUGGCUUUCCCUGCACUGGAUUUCCACUUCCUCCUGGUCGAAGCAGCCGCAGCAGCAGCAGCAAUAACAAUCAGGAACAGCAGCAGCAGCAGCAACAAGAAGCCGUCAAACGCCGCAACUAAUUGAUAUAAUAGUUAAAAGAACAAACUAACGAGAAAGAGGUUGUCGUCGUCGAACGCGGCGCGUUGGAGAAGUGCAAAACCUUUCCAAUUUGAAAAUAGUUUUCCUGCUAUGUGUGCUCGUUCCCACAAGCGCGGCAAUACCAACUCAUACCAACCCACGGCUCCAACACCACCAGAUGCAGCAACAACUGCAUCAACAGCAACAUCGGCUCAGAACAAGCACAAGCAGCGAAAGCCUGCACUUCGCCAAGCGGUGAUUGGGAAAAGGGGCUGCAGCUGGAGUUGGAGUUGCAGCCAGAGUAGAAGCUGGAGCUGGAGCUGGAGAAGAUGACAAUGCAGCGAUUAGAGCAAUGCAGAACUUGAACUCUACGACGGCGGCAGCUGGAAAAAUGUUUGCCCCGAUCCCCGGGACACCGACUCAGUCACUCAGUCCGUCCCAAUGCGCGGCAUUUCCGUUCGGAAAAAAAAGAGGAUGCUGUCGAGAAGGAAGGCCCUCGAUCGAUUCGAUGCUGAUGCAUUCUGCAGGGGUGGGGGGAACGUAGUGAUCAUGUUUGUAGCAUCUAAAUAAAGUACCUGUAAUGGUUUUCAUUAAGUAAUGCGUCGUCUUUGGCUUCUUGGUUUAUGAACACGGCAAAUAUUUAAUGUGAGAUAAAAAAUGUUCAAUAUUCAGAUCAUUGACCUAAACAACAGAAGAACUUAAGGAUGUCAACAAUAUAUAAACUUCACAAAUACUGCUUUCUUUGACGUUGUAAUAUAAAUAAAACGUUUUUAUAUU
ensembl:ncRNA lncRNA:CR31044 long non-coding RNA::CR31044